rnacentral:rRNA from 1 species
CUUGGUCAUUUAGAGGAAGUAAAAGUCGNRRCNAGGUUUCCGUAGGUGAACCUGCGGAGGAUCAUUAUCGUACACAACCGAGGCGCGAGGGCUGUCGCUGACCUUCAAAGGUCGUGCACGCCCGAGCGCUCUCACACAAUCCAUAUCACCCCUUUGUGCAUCACCGCGCGGGUUCCCCCCUUUGCAGGGGGGCUCGCGUUUUCACAUAAAACUUGAUACAGUCUAGAAUGUUUGUUUUUGCGGUCACACGCAAUCAAUACAACUUUCAACAACGGAUCUCUUGGCUCUCGCAUCGAUGAAGAACGCAGCGAAAUGCGAUACGUAAUGUGAAUUGCAGAAUUCAGUGAAUCAUCGAAUCUUUGAACGCACCUUGCGCCCCUUGGCAUUCCGAGGGGCACACCCGUUUGAGUGUCGUGAAAUCCUCAAAACCCCUCUUCUUUCAUCGGAAUGGGGAUUUUGGACUUGGAGGUUCAAUGCUUGCUUUUGCUUUCGAAAGCAAGCUCCUCUUAAAUGAAUCAGUGGGGUCCGCUUUGCCGAUCCUUGACGUGAUAAGAUGUUUCUACGUUUUGGAUCUGGCAAUGUUUUCCUCGCUCCUAAUCGUCUCAUUGACAAAGGAUGGUGCUUCGGUCCCUGCCAUCUAUCUACGUUGGCGGGAGGCUGGACCCACAAAAAAGAAAACCUUGACCUCAAAUCGGGWGAGACUACCCGCUGAACUUAAGCAUAUCAAUAAGCGGAGGA